CUCAUCUGGCCCACGCCGUACAAGGCGCGCUUCACCUCCUCGCCCACCACCACCUCUCCGGCCUUGGACAACUCUGACAAGACACCACGGAAAAGUCUGCUUUGGAUGGAACCACUAACAGGGCCGUACUGAUGAACUAAGAGGAGCUUACGCCAAAACCUUCCCGGACUGGGGUUGACGUUCCCUGCUGUCAUGUCAAAGCCAAAAGCGGCCUCAUUGAAAGCAAUGGCAACACACAGGUUGGAGGAAAAGAUGCCUUACCGCCCUGAAGAUCCGCUGACAGCGGAACGAAGAAA